rnacentral:rRNA from 1 species
UGGGGAAUAUUGCGCAAUGGGCGAAAGCCUGACGCAGCGACGCCGCGUGAGGGAUGAAGGUUUUCGGAUCGUAAACCUCUGUCAGAAGGGAAGAAACUACAUUGUGCUAAUCAGCAGUGUACUGACGGUACCUUCAAAGGAAGCACCGGCUAACUCCGUGCCAGCAGCCGCGGUAAUACGGAGGGUGCAAGCGUUAAUCGGAAUUACUGGGCGUAAAGCGCACGUAGGCUGUAGUGUAAGUCAGGGGUGAAAUCCCACGGCUCAACCGUGGAACUGCCUUUGAUACUGCACAACUUGAAUCCGGGAGAGGGUGGCGGAAUUCCAGGUGUAGGAGUGAAAUCCGUAGAUAUCUGGAGGAACAUCAGUGGCGAAGGCGGCCACCUGGACCGGUAUUGACGCUGAGGUGCGAAAGCGUGGGGAGCAAACAG